GACGUUUCGUGGCCUUGUUGUUUACGAUUCGGACUUAGAAAAGUUUUAGCAACUUUGGUUGGUUUCUGAGGACGGCAUGAUCGUGAACUUGGGAGUGAAAAUGGACAUUAAGGAACAUAUAAGGAAAAAGGAUGAUUUUAUGCAUUGAUACGCUAGGGAAACACGAUUCAAUCAGAAAUCAAACGAAGUUCAAAAAGAGCUGAUGACCUUGGCCAUAAGGAAAGGGUUUGCAAAACCUGCAUUGAGCAAAUUUAAUUCGGGAACAAGGCGCCUACAAUUGAUCGUUUAGGAAAGUUCUACGCUACUUUUGGUUUACUCGCAGACCGUCGGAUUACAAGAGUUGAACUACUGAUCAUGUACUGAAUAAGAUUUACGAUUGCUCCACAA